ensembl:lncRNA
AAAUUAGAUAAGCAUUUAGCUCUCCUCGGGAGACUCAGUUUAUAGCCAAGUGGAUCCCAUUUGUAGGACGUGGGCUCAGCACACCCUGAAGGCUGACCGGUUGAAAAGGCUUAUCCUGCCCGUCAGGAAAGCAAGAACUCUCAAGUCGACAGUCUAGCUCCUGAGCUCAUAUGUGGACUUAAAUCUCUGGUUAAUGAGAAAGGCCGUUCAGUAAGAAGGUAGCUCCAAUGUACUGGGAAUUAUAAAACUGCUCCCUCAUCAGGCUUCUCUACAUUGGCCUUAGAAGUGACAAACCUUCAGAAAUAGCAGGCACCUACCCGUGGCCCAUCCAAACAAGAAGAUACAUGGGAAGCCCUUUCAUCAGCCCCUGGGACAGCACUGCCUGCCACAAUCGUUGAUCACUCCACGUCAGAAAAUUGAGAGCUGUGAGGCAGGGAGCGGGAGAGAGAAGCAAUGCCAGCUGCUAUGUGGGGAGUCCUUACUAUGUGCCUGGCCCAGGAGGAAAGAACCGGAUGGCUGAUUUCACUUUAUCUUUUCAACAACCCCGUAGAACAGAUACAACUAUUAGCCCCACUUUACAAGUUGAGAAAACCGAGACUUGCCCAUCAUCAGACCAUAUGUCAGACUCUUCACUCUCGUGCCUUGACAGCAUCCAAGACAGGAUUCAGAACAAAUAGCAACAUCCGUCGUGCCUAUGCUGGGUGUGCACUAGAUUAUCUCUGUAGAAAAUACCUUUUAGAAGAUUUUGUAUUCUGAUGCAGUUUGGGUUCUGCAGUGAAGAACAUAGUUCAGUUAUUUCCUAAUUUUGAAGGAAAAGUGUUGGGAAAGAGAGAUGUAAGCUAAGCAAUUUCUGAGCUAAAUCAAAAGGAUGAAUACAAUAUUCUUCAACUGCUUAGUGGAUUUCGAAUCAUUUUACAAAGACUUCACUGAGCGUACCUCAAUUUAGAAGAAUAGCCAUGAGACCUCCAAUUAGAACGAUAAUUAAAUGUCAUUUGGGGACUAGUAACCGAGCCUCGCAACAUUAUCUGAGUUGAUGACAGUGGGGAAGGGAUGAGGUUGCACAGUUCAGCUGCUGGUCACAAAUGCCAGCUGGUCAUUAUACUCCAGUAAAUUUCACGCAUCAAUGUAUUUAUUGCUACUAUAAACUGAAAAUAUGAAAGGAAGGAAAAGUAGAAAUAUAUAUUGAUUGCCUGAUGGGACUUGCAGGGUUAGUCUGAUAGCCAUUAUCCCUAGAUAACAAAUGUGUCUUUUGGUUUUACCCAAUCAAACAUAUUUCAUUCUAUUUCCAAUGUUUUGUGAAGAUGCCUGUACAAUAAAACAUGUACGCAGAAAAUUUUGUAUUUGCUUAUCAAGGUAUGACUUUUUGCCCUGGGGCCGUUUUCAGGUCCCGAACCUCUCUUAUGGUGGAGACGGGGGGCUUUACAACGUGGAAUCUGGAUUUUGAGGGGUUUGGGCAUUUUCCCUGUGUUGGUUUCCUGCAAAAGAUGGGAAUUUGCAGCCAGCUCUUGAGAUACAAAUUGUUUCGCUAUAGUAAGUCUAGAAAUGGUCCUCUUUGGGGGUAAAUUUAUGAGACAACUUUAUAAACAACUUCUUUGUUUAACUUUUAGGUUCUUAGAAAAGAAACACACAGAAAAUCGAAACUUGCCUUUAAUAGAUUUUCUCUUAGGCUAAAAUCUUUAUUGGCGCAUGUUGGGCUCAAGCGCUUAAGCCAGAACUGAGAAUCCAUGGCUUCUCCAUCGGUCUAUUCAGAAAUCAGGAAUGGGAGUAGCACGGCAGGAAAAUGACUACAAAGAUUAGAAUAAGCUUGAGGUUGGGAAAAGCAUUUGAGAACAUCAGGUAAAAGAGGAAAGAAUCACUAUGCUCAUUUAUAAAUAAAUGAGGCAAGCAAGCAUGGAGUUAGGUUGCUGUGAGGCCAGAGAAGAAAAUGAGUUUUGUAUAAAUAGGACGAAGUUAAGGAAGUUAGAACAUUAAGGAAGUGGGAGGAUUCAAGCAGCUCAGCAGCUGUUUCACGGCUUUGCAGGACCUAUUUUGGCAAAUCUGGCAUAUGUGGUCAUGCGUCAGGGUGGACUUUGUGGGGAGGCCUAUAUUUACCAGGUAAGUGACCAGAUGUCUUUGCCAACGUGUAAUGAUUUCUGGGGAAGGGAUUUAGAAAUUCAGGCCAUACCAUUCAAAAUAGGAAACCAGCUCUCUUGCUUUAAAGGAAAUUUAUGGAUAAUUCAAGAUAAGCCAUCUGUGCAAUAAGAAAUACACAUCCUACAGAUGGUGAGAAUUAUAGGACACAUGAUAUUGUUAACAAUAGCAUC